rnacentral:tRNA from 1 species
GGGUCAUUAGAGGCUGCUAAACAGACUCGUUGUAACGGGAGUGGAAACCCUUCCUAGACGACCUUGGUCCAAAUGGCUUUUAACCAAUUGGUCGUAGGUUCGAAUCCUACACGACCCACCA